rnacentral:rRNA from 1 species
AGCAAGCUGGCGGCGUGCCUAAUCAUGCAAGUGCUACGCUUCUUUCUUACCGAGUGCUUGCACUCACAAGGAAGAGGAGUCGCGAACGGGUGAGUAACGCGUAGGUAACCUGUCUUUAAGAGGGGGAUAACUAUUGGAAACGAUAGCUAAUACCGCAUACUUUUCUCAGACGCCUGUUUGAGGGAAGAAAGGGGCAAGAGCUCCGCUUAGAGGUGGACCUGCGUUGUAUUAGCUAGUUGGUAGGGUAAAGGCCUACCAAGGCGACGAUACAUAGCCGGCCUGAGAGGGUGAACGGCCACACUGGGACUGAGACACGGCCCAGACUCCUACGGGAGGCAGCAGUAGGGAGUCUUCGGCAAUGGGGGGAACCCUGACCGAGCAACGCCGCGUGAGUGAAGAAGGAAUUCGUUUCGUAAAGCUUUGUUGUAAGUGAAGAACGUGCUUGAGAGUGGAAAGUUCAGGCAGUGACGGUAACUUACGAGGAAGGGACGGCUAACUACGUGCCAGCAGCCGCGGUAAU